GUCGAGCGUCUUAAACGGGUCUCAAAUGCUCGGGCUGACCGGCACCCUUCAUAUUCAGCCUAAAUAUUGGACGGAUACAAGGAGGCAGCACCGGUGCACCCGGGCGCGUUCAUCACGUCAGCCCCGCCCAUUCCGACCCCACAAAUAUCCUUAUCCAUAAAACUCUAGACCGGUCAAUCCGAACUUCACUUCACUCUCCUCUCUGUUCACUUCACUCUCGAUCCCCUCUCCUUUGAUCUGAUGGCCGACGAAGGAAGCAGGGUGGCUCCGAUUCAGAAUCCGAUGGCUCAAACAUCGACAUGGAGGGGGUGGCCCUCCGCAUCGCAUUGAGGAGGUUACUGCCCAAGCAAGGCGGCACCAGCAACGGUAGAUCUUCUUCCUUAGCGUUCGUCGCUCGUCGACGCAACGCCGUCGACGUCACCGGCCCUUCCCGCCUGGUGCGCAGCUCCGCUCCGCCAGGUACACCGCCCACCUCCACCACCCUCUCGUACGGAAGUGGUACCCGAACACCCGAGUACGAGGCACAUGCAGCCCGGCGCGAGCGGCAACAGGCGCGAGAGAGGGGAGGCGAUGUCCGCGUGUCGGUCGAUCCCGAGGUCGCGCUCCUCGCGUCGGUCCUCCGCCACCUUCUCACAACGGCGGAGAUAUAUGCGUGGCGCCUCUGCCGCAAGAAUGCCAAGGCGCACCGGCUCGCCAUCGAGUUGUCGGAGUGCGAGGCAAACAAGGAGGCUGCGGCGAAGGCGAAGGCCGCCCGCCACGCGAAGGAGCAUGACCGACUUCUCCGCGGGCUGUCGGGCAUGAGGUUUUGAAGCAAUCUCUUCCCUUUUCGGAGAGCCCGGGAUCUUGUGGUCAUGUCACAGAAAUCCUGUGUUCCUUCUCUGACAGCGGCACUUAACUCUAUCUCCUUCCACUUAAGACAUGGAUGCGCCUGAUGACAUGGCCAAAAUGAUCUACUACAAGUUUCCUUCUCUUCCGAACCAUGCAAACCUAUUUCCAGAGCAGCCAGAGUGAUCCGGAUUCAGAAGCAAAGUGCGUCAUGUUAUCAUGGACAAAGGACUUGCCUUGCCUACCUAUUUGUGAUCGAAAUGCUUUGGACGGGAGCGGAUGGACGCACCCACGCACGGACGCCGUUUUCUCUUUCUUUUGCUUGCUUGGAAGCAAGAAACGGAAUUUAUCUUUUCCUUCUUCCCUGUACAUAUACAUGCAAAAAACUCUCUGAGAAUUUGGGAUGGCUGCAAGUGGUUAUAACUCCGUGGCCACUCUCUCAUCACAUAUUCUAGAAGGGCGUGGCUCAUUCCAAAAGCGUCCCUUUCUGAACAUAAAAGAAAAUGGCGCUGUAGUGCAUGUUAUUACCCUCUCAAGUCAAAUUUCUGCAACAGGCGCGCACUGUUUCUGACGAGAUUUGCCCCCGUCAAAUCCAUGGACUUCGUUCACGGGAUCACAGGGCUCCCACAUAAAUUAUGUACGUUUGGAUGGAAAGCUUUCGGUGAUGCUAAAUUGUUUUUAGCUCUCUCCGGUCGGCCGGUGCUGAUUAAUCAAAGUGGGAGAAAAAGGAAGACGUGUCUGCAUUGUUGGGCGUCAGAGAGACAGAGACCGGUGCUUCUGUGGAAGCAGGAAGCAGACUGGAUCCUGCCUGCGUGCAUGAACCUUUUCAUCAUGUAUGAUGCUGGCUGUUGUCGUUCGAUGGCAACAACUGCUGGCAUACUUCACUUGAUGGAUGAUGGUGGUGAUAGUGGGGUUUAGCACACCACGCGCCACCGGUACCACCACUGUUCUUUGCUCCUUUGGUGAAUGCCGGUCUCCGAAUUUGACAAGUCCCUUCAGGAAAAAGUUCAAUUAUGGAAUGAACUACUCCAGCUUCGAAGUACUAUGUAUGUUAUCUCUACGGUUUAUUUGGUUUUGAAAACAUGGGUGUCAGACUUUUGGGUAUGCUGAAAAGGCACUAGAAUUUUUUCGGCUUACCCAAUUUUUCGCUCUCCUCUAUCUAACAUGGAUUUGGUUAGCCAAAAUUUGGGUCUGCUAUUGGAGAUGACCGAGCAUCUCCAAACAACUCCUCUUUCUCCAAAUUUUUUUUCUUGUACUGUGGAGUUGGGCCAAAAAGCAGCUCCAACGGGUC
rnacentral:rRNA from 1 species